UCGCAUCAUAAUUGGGUCAUACUGUAACCAUGAGCCCAAGAAAGCUGUGGAUCGCGAAAUCACAUUCCCAACAUAGAAGGAGAAGAAGAAGCUGAGAAGGGAAAAGUAGCAAAGCAGAGAUUUUGAUAAUAAGGGGAAAAGCUGAAACUAAAUCGUAACAGAGAAGAAGAAAGAUGGUUAGGGUGGCAUCGUACUUCGCGAUGACGUUGGGUGCUUUCGUGUUCUGGCAAUCCAUGGACAAAGUCCAUGUCUGGAUCGCUCUCCAUCAGGACGAAAAGCAAGAGAGGUUGGAGAAGGAAGCGGAGAUCAGAAGGGUUAGAGAAGAAUUAUUGCAGCAGCAGGCCAAUCAGAAGGAUCCUUAUUAUUGAAUUCGAAUAUGUUGUAAUUUUGCUGCCUUUUGCUUUGCAAUUUCCUUCCCAUGCUCUGUCUAGUGCUCAAAUAAAAUAUGGUACUCCCGAGCAUUUCAAAUUUAAUUGCAUGGAUUUCUAAUGUGUUUCUUUACACACGCAUUUGUCUCAUAAAAUGCUACGCGUGUUAGUAAUUGUUGGAACACUUACUCAGGUUAUGAACCAAAUUUUUAAGCAUUUCCAUGGAUUUUUUAGGUCAUACUUGAACCUUUAUUCUUAUUUACAAGUAUGAGUUUGGAAAUCAACCAAGUAUUGGAUCAUAUUAUUAACGGACUGAAAUAGAAGUCUGUAAACUCUCUAGUUUGUCCAUCUUACUCUGGUGCAUAAAUCAUUUGAUGCUGCUGCUGCUUCUCCUAUAUUGUGAAUGUGUUCUUACUUGUUUAGCGAUUCCCUUGUUCUCUGUGUUUUGCUCUGAUAUUCAGAUAUAAUUGGAUAGACUGUUCUGCUUAAAAAUAAGUUGUAGAGUAGAAACUUAGUAUCAAACCAUUUCCUGCAGCGUUUCUUUUAACCUACUUCUCAUACUUUUCGCCUACAGAAUUUUGGGGUUAAAUCGAGCGAUAGAGGAAUUAUGAAGUGGCAAUACUAACUGAAAUAAGCAAGUGCCAAAAAUGCUGUACAAGCUUAACUCUUCCCAAGGUCUUGACAGUAUUGCAAUUAGGCAAGUACUUGGUCUAGAAGUAGAAGAACUUCUUGUUGGUUUUUGCUGUCUAGAGGAAUAUUGUAAACAGAACAGUGUGGUGCCACCAUUGUGCUGUUACAGCUGCAUUCACUAAAGUUUACAUCUAGCAUCGUGUGCAUAGAUAGUCAUUGAUUGAGGUUGACUGCACUGCUGUACGAAAAUGUGGCAAAAUCAUUUCCAGGGUUCCUUUUAUGAUUUCACACUCUCUUUUUCAGAACCCUUAAUUUUGACAAAACCCAGUUGCUCAUGUUCAUUAAUCUUUGGCCCUUGUGUUUUCUUUCACUCUUCAAGUCAGCCACUCGCUUUUUGGCCCAAGUAUGCACUUGGGUUUGCGUUGUCCUCUCCGUUCUUGCCUGCCUCUGCUUACACAUUGCUGGCUGUUAUUUCGAUUCUAUGCCCUUUCCGGAGAACCUUGUGGGUUAACUGCCCCAG